GAUGAACGCUGGCGGCGUGCUUAACACAUGCAAGUCGAACGGGAUCCAUCAAGCUUGCUUGGUGGUGAGAGUGGCGAACGGGUGAGUAAUGCGUGACCGACCUGCCCCAUACACCGGAAUAGCUCCUGGAAACGGGUGGUAAUGCCGGAUGUUCCAGUUGAUCGCAUGGUCUUCUGGGCAAGCUUUCGCGGUAUGGGAUGGGGUCGCGUCCUAUCAGCUUGACGGCGGGGUAACGGCCCACCGUGGCUUCGACGGGUAGCCGGCCUGAGAGGGCGACCGGCCACAUUGGGACUGAGAUACGGCCCAGACUCCUACGGGAGGCAGCAGUGGGGAAUAUUGCACAAUGGGCGCAAGCCUGAUGCAGCGACGCCGCGUGAGGGAUGGAGGCCUUCGGGUUGUAAACCUCUUUUAUCGGGGAGCAAGCGAGAGUGAGUUUACCCGUUGAAUAAGCACCGGCUAACUACGUGCCAGCAGCCGCCGUAA
rnacentral:rRNA from 1 species